rnacentral:rRNA from 1 species
UGCCAGCCGCCGCGGUAAUACAGAGGUCUCAAGCGUUGUUCGGAUUCAUUGGGCGUAAAGGGUGCGUAGGUGGUGAUGCAAGUCUGGUGUGAAAUCUCGGGGCUCAACUCCGAAAUUGCACCGGAUACUGCGUGACUCGAGGACUGUAGAGGAGAUCGGAAUUCACGGUGUAGCAGUGAAAUGCGUAGAUAUCGUGAGGAAGACCAGUUGCGAAGGCGGAUCUCUGGGCAGUUCCUGACACUGAGGCACGAAGGCCAGGGGAGCAAACGGGAUUAGAUA